GCUCCGCAAAAUUGGUAAUUUGAGCUUAGUUCUUCACCUCAAGCUUGGUCUUAUGUGUAAAUGUUCUCAUAGCAUUGCAGAAAUUCCUAUCAUAUUGAUAUGCAUGAUGCAUCAACAAUAUUAACAAUGCAAUAUAUUUUCUCUAAUUUAUUUGUUCUUAGUAUCAAGCACAAUGCAUUUCUUUGUUUCAUCCAUCACGAUAAAGAGCUAAUAUCUGGUUAACAAAUCGCAAAUUUAACAAGAAUCCGUAUUCUGUAAAUAAAGAGGUAAUCUGGUAACUAAUCACCAUUUUAACAAGAACUCAGAAUUUUGUGCUCAUAACAGGUAAAAUUCAUAUUCUGUUAAUUAAAGAGGUACUAAGAUCUGGUAACUAAUCCCCAUUUUAACAAGAACCCGAAUUCUGUAAACUGGAGAGAUCAUAUCAGGUUAACUAAUCACCGGUUUACAAUAACUCAAAUUCUGUUAACUAAUCAGCAUUGAACAUUUUGCAAGUUUAUCGCAACAGAUUCAGAAUUUUUCGCCAACAAAUUACCAAUUAAGCAUCUAAAUGACUAAUACACUGCUUAAGUUAACAGAUUCAGAUCUACAAUUCUCACUAGCAUUGACAUAAAAUCCAAUUUAUUUAAUUAUUAAUUUACUUGAGCAUCAACAUCCAAAUCAACAAGUGUAGGAAAUCAAGCUAACAGAUCCAGAUCUACAUAAUACUAACAAUUAAACAAACACAAUAAUAAUAUUAAUAAAAUCAAUAAUUGAAUCAGUUAAUUAAGUAAUAAAAGCUACAUAAAUCUCACUAACACCACAUCAAAAUCUUCAAUCAAAAACAUAAUCACUCUCUCUCACUUUCACUCUAUAAUACUAGCAUAUCAUAUAAUACUUCUACUCUUUAGAUCUGGAGAAAAGAACCGAAGAGAAGAGCGGCGACGGCGCAACCAACAGCGGCAAGCGACGGCGAGAGAGAUCCGGCGGAGGACAUCGGAGAUGGCGCCGGUGCGGGAGACUCGUCGGCGACGGUGGAUCCGAUGAGAGAGAAGACGACGGCGAUGAGCGCGAUGAGAGAGAUUGUGGAGUGAGAGAGCGCCAUUGUUGAGAGAGAUCUGUGAGUUUGAGAGAGAGUGAGGGAGAGGAGUGAGGUGGGAGGGGUUUGAGCUAUUUUUGUGUAUUUAUGGAGGGAUUUGUAGGUGUUGCUAGAUGGG
rnacentral:lncRNA from 1 species